GUUCUCUGAAGGAGCAAAGCAGGUGAAAUCAGAAUCAUGGGACAUUUUCACCAUUAGUGUUGUGACGUCUCGAGGUCAAAGCCAUUAUGUAUUGCAACGAUGACGCACUUUGAGUGUCGCACGGCCUCCUUACCUUUGUCUCAUCAGUGGGAUGUUGAUACAGUUAGCAGCAGCUACAGCAGCAAAUGGAACAAACCGACCAAUCAGGGGGGAGAUGUGCUACAGCAGGAGAGAGGAGGCAUAAAAACAAAAAGCUGAACUACUGGCAGACCAGGGACAUACCAAAGCGCAUGCAGGAAUCUGCAGCAGCAUGAUGAAACUCCUCCUGAAAUUGCACCAAAGAUGGCUGCUGGAUUGACAA